CGAGGGGUCCUAGCGUUGUUCGGAAUCACUGGGCGUAAAGCGUUUGUAGGCGGCUUUGCAAGUCGGGUGUGAAAUCCCACGGCUCAACCGUGGAAGUGCAUUCGAAACUGCAGAGCUUGAAUAUGGAAGAGGGCAGUAGAAUUCCUGGUGUAGUGGUGAAAUACGUAGAUAUCAGGAGGAAUACCGGUGGCGAAGGCGGCUGCCUGGUCCAAUAUUGACGCUGAGAAACGAAAGUGCGGGGAUCAAACAGGAUUAGAUACCCUGGUAGUCCGCACCGUAAACGAUGGAUACUUGGUGUUGGAGGUAUUGACCCCUUCAGUGCCGAAGCUAACGCGUUAAGUAUCCCGCCUGGGAAGUACGGUCGCAAGAUUA
rnacentral:rRNA from 1 species